CUCUAGAGAAACUGCCGGUGCUAAGCCGGAGGAAGGUGGGGAUGACGUCAAGUCCUCAUGGCCCUUACGGGUAGGGCUACACACGUGCUACAAUGGCGCUGACAGAGGGUUAAUCCCUAAAAGGCGUCUCAGUUCGGAUUGUCUUCUGCAACUCGAAGGCAUGAAGUUGGAAUCGCUAGUAAUCGUGGAUCAGCAUGCCACGGUGAAUACGUUCCCGGGCCUU
rnacentral:rRNA from 1 species